rnacentral:rRNA from 1 species
GAUGAACGCUGGCGGCGUGCUUAACACAUGCAAGUCGAACGGAGUUUAGAUGAAGCUUGCGAUUCUAAACUUAGUGGCGGACGGGUGAGUAACGCGUGGGUAACCUGCCUUAUACCGGGGGAUAACACUUAGAAAUAGGUGCUAAUACCGCAUAAGCGCACAAAGCUGCAUGGCUUAGUGUGAAAAACUCCGGUGGUAUAAGAUGGACCCGCGUCUGAUUAGCUAGUUGGUGAGGUAACGGCCCACCAAGGCGACGAUCAGUAGCCGGCCUGAGAGGGUGAACGGCCACAUUGGGACUGAGACACGGCCCAAACUCC